rnacentral:rRNA from 1 species
CCUACGGGUGGCAGCAGUGAGGAAUAUUGGUCAAUGGACGCUAGUCUGAACCAGCCAAGUCGCGUGAAGGAUGACUGCCCUAUGGGUUGUAAACUUCUUUUAUAUGGGAAUAAAGUCAGGUUCGUAUACCUCUUUGCAUGUACCUUAUGAAUAAGGAUCGGCUAACUCCGUGCCAGCAGCCGCGGUAAUACGGAGGAUCCGAGCGUUAUCCGGAUUUAUUGGGUUUAAAGGGUGCGUAGGCGGGCUGUUAAGUUAGUGGUGAAAGUUUGCGGCUCAACCGUGAAAUUGCAGUUGAUACUGGCAGCCUUGAGAACAGUAGAGGUAGGCGGAAUGCGUGGUGUAGCGGUGAAAUGCUUAGAGAUCACGAAGAACUCCGAUUGCGAAGGCAGCCUACCGGGCGGUAACUGACGCUGAGGCACGAAAGUGUGGGUAUCAAACAGGAUUAGAUACCCGGGUAGUC